AUUGAACGCUGGCGGUAUGCUUAACACAUGCAAGUCGAACGAUGAGAAAGAGCUUGCUGCUUCGCUGACGAGUGGCGGACGGGUGAGUAAUGUCUGGGAAACUGCCUGAUGGAGGGGGAUAACUACUGGAAACGGUAGCUAAUACCGCAUAACGUCGCAAGACCAAAGAGGGGGACCUUCGGGCCUCUUGCCAUCGGAUGUGCCCAGAUGGGGUUAGCUAGUAGGUGGGGUAACGGCUCACCUAGGCGACGAUCCCUAGCUGGUCUGAGAGGAUGACCAGCCACACUGGAACUGAGACACGGUCCAGACUCCUACGGGAGGCAGCAGUGGGGAAUAUUGCACAAUGGGCGCAAGCCUGAUGCAGCCAUGCCGCGUGUAUGAAGAAGGCCUUCGGGUUGUAAAGUACUUUCAGCGGGGAGGAAGGCGAUAAGGUUAAUAACCUUGUCGAUUGACGUUACCCGCAGAAGAAGCACCGGCUAACUCCGUGCCAGCAGCCGCAGUAA
rnacentral:rRNA from 1 species